AUUGAACGCUGGCGGCAGGCCUAACACAUGCAAGUCGAGCGGAUGAAGGGAGCUUGCUCCUGGAUUCAGCGGCGGACGGGUGAGUAAUGCCUAGGAAUCUGCCUGGUAGUGGGGGAUAACGUCCGGAAACGGGCGCUAAUACCGCAUACGUCCUGAGGGAGAAAGUGGGGGAUCUUCGGACCUCACGCUAUCAGAUGAGCCUAGGUCGGAUUAGCUAGUUGGUGGGGUAAAGGCCUACCAAGGCGACGAUCCGUAACUGGUCUGAGAGGAUGAUCAGUCACACUGGAACUGAGACACGGUCCAGACUCCUACGGGAGGCAGCAGUGGGGAAUAUUGGACAAUGGGCGAAAGCCUGAUCCAGCCAUGCCGCGUGUGUGAAGAAGGUCUUCGGAUUGUAAAGCACUUUAAGUUGGGAGGAAGGGCAGUAAGUUAAUACCUUGCUGUUUUGACGUUACCAACAGAAUAGACCG
rnacentral:rRNA from 1 species